rnacentral:lncRNA from 1 species
CAACAACAUUAGGCUUUUCAAGUCUACUGCUUUAGACUUGCCAGUAUCUUUAGUUCAAGUGAAAAGAAAAAAAAUCCAAUUCAGUGCAAAACAGAAUCACCACAUGAUGGAGACAUUUAUCUGUAUAACAAACAAGAGCCAGGCCAACUGAACCUGGUUACGGAAAGUUUGUCUAAUAUGCCUGACUAAAAUGUCCUUAAAGUAUAGGGGUGAAUGGAGCUAAACAACUUAAAAAAAACCACAAUUUGUCCAUUUAUCAUAGAAAGUAGAAUAAAGCAUUUCUUCAAACGUGUUUACUACGCCUAAUGUCUCCAAAACGCCAUGUUCAAGCCAUCUGAAAUGCAGUUUCUGCUGCAUCCAGCCUCGUGAUGGUUCCUGGAUAUUAAACUAGCAAUGCCUGGGGUCCAUGGGACUUUGGGGAGCUUCAGGGCGAUGAUCAUUGAUGUCAUUAAUGUUAUGGUUGAUUUCCCCUACUCCCAUCUACACUCUAAAAAACAGAGGUACGAUAUGAGUACUUUUUUGUACUCAAAGGUACAUUCUUU